AACGAACGCUGGCGGCAGGCUUAACACAUGCAAGUCGAGCGCCCCGCAAGGGGAGCGGCAGACGGGUGAGUAACGCGUGGGAACGUACCCUUUGCUACGGAAUAGCUCCGGGAAACUGGAAUUAAUACCGUAUGUGCCCUACGGGGGAAAGAUUUAUCGGCAAAGGAUCGGCCCGCGUUGGAUUAGCUAGUUGGUGGGGUAAUGGCCCACCAAGGCGACGAUCCAUAGCUGGUCUGAGAGGAUGAUCAGCCACAUUGGGACUGAGACACGGCCCAAACUCCGACGGGAGGCAGCAGUGGGGAAUAUUGGACAAUGGGCGCAAGCCUGAUCCAGCCAUGCCGCGUGAGUGACGAAGGCCUUAGGGUUGUAAAGCUCUUUUGGCGGGGAAGAUAAUGACGGUACCCGCAGAAUAAGCUCCGGCUAACUUCGUGCCAGCAGCCGCGGUAACAC
rnacentral:rRNA from 1 species